UUUCAAAUGAAAACAUGUUUUUAUUUUAUUCAUAAGACCUUCUAUGUGUUAAUCUGGUGUACAGAUACAAAAUAAUGUCCCAACUAAACUAAAGAACAAAAAGUUUUAAAAAUUACUACAUAUAUAUAACUAAAUUUCUCAAGAUUAAUAAUAAUGGCAAAAAUAUGGAAAAGCUACUUAAUUAAAAACAAGCAAUACAUUAACAGAAAUACUAAUACAGUGAUAGAAUUAAGAACAUCCCAAACUAUUUGUUAACCUUAGGACCACAUGUUAGCAUUACCAGGACAAGGUUGCUAACAUUCCCUAAAACCUACAAUCAUCAUCAUGUGCCUGUUCAAACCCACAGGGACAAAGUCACAGUUGUAGAGUUGCAGACAGGUUGCUAUCAAAGCUAUAGAAAGAAUUUGAACUCUGUUGGUCAAGAUUUCAAAUAUUAUGAUACACAUAGUGAAGAUUAUGAGGAGCAAUAGGUACAUAGUGUAAGCUCUAGUGAGUGUGUUCAAACAGUCUACUUAAAAAGUGAAUCAAACUGUUCAUUGUAGACUUUGUAAUGACACAGAUUAAAACAAAAGAUUAGAUCACAAAAUUUGAGACAUAAAGCACAAAAAUGUAACAAACUUUUUUACAAAGGAGCUUGCUAAUAAGACAAAGUCUUUGAUGCCAAAGAUUAAGGAUGAGUGCAAUGUUUCACGAGACCAUGCAAACCCAGAUGCGACCUGCAUAUUUUGCCAUGGAAAGUCAUUGUCUUUUUCGCCUUUCUUUUGCAAAGGUUUUUGUAGUUAACAUUGUACACACAUGAACAGUUGCAUUGAACAUAGUCUCAUAAAAUCAACUAAACCAACAAUGGGAUGAUGGUGUUUGUAAUGUAAAUUACUUUCUUCAAAGAGCAAAAAUCUAUAAUCAAUUCUUCCAUUUUUCUACCCUCAUAAGUAUAUAAUC